CAUGCAGUCGAACGCUUCUUUUUCCACCGGAGCUUGCUCCACCGGAAAAAGAGGAGUGGCGAACGGGUGAGUAACACGUGGGUAACCUGCCCAUCAGAAGGGGAUAACACUUGGAAACAGGUGCUAAUACCGUAUAACAAUCGAAACCGCAUGGUUUUGAUUUGAAAGGCGCUUUCGGGUGUCGCUGAUGGAUGGACCCGCGGUGCAUUAGCUAGUUGGUGAGGUAACGGCUCACCAAGGCCACGAUGCAUAGCCGACCUGAGAGGGUGAUCGGCCACAUUGGGACUGAGACACGGCCCAAACUCCUACGGGAGGCAGCAGUAGGGAAUCUUCGGCAAUGGACGAAAGUCUGACCGAGCAACGCCGCGUGAGUGAAGAAGGUUUUCGGAUCGUAAAACUCUGUUGUUAGAGAAGAACAAGGAUGAGAGUAACUGUUCAUCCCUUGACGGUAUCUAACCAGAAAGCCACGGCUAACUACGUGCCAGCAGCCGCGGUAAUACGUAGGUGGCAAGCGUUGUCCGGAUUUAUUGGGCGUAAAGCGAGCGCAGGCGGUUUCUUAAGUCUGAUGUGAAAGCCCCCGGCUCAACCGGGGAGGGUCAUUGGAAACUGGGAGACUUGAGUGCAGAAGAGGAGAGUGGAAUUCCAUGUGUAGCGGUGAAAUGCGUAGAUAUAUGGAGGAACACCAGUGGCGAAGGCGGCUCUCUGGUCUGUAACUGACGCUGAGGCUCGAAAGCGUGGGGAGCAAACAGGAUUAGAUACCCUGGUAGUCCACGCCGUAGACGAUGAGUGCUAAGUGUUGGAGGGUUUCCGCCCUUCAGUGCUGCAGCUAACGCAUUAAGCACUCCGCCUGGGGAGUACGACCGCUAGGUUGAACUCAAGAAA
rnacentral:rRNA from 1 species